rnacentral:lncRNA from 1 species
UGAGAAUGUCAGGCUGCUGUGACGCGGGGGAGGGCGGGGUCAGGCGGGGUUCCCGUGGGAGGGGGCGGGCCGCCGGGCCGGGCCUGAGGUGGGUGGGUCUCUGCGCCCCCUGCCUACCCCACUUCCCCCUCCAGUUCUCAGCUUCUCUUUGAAGUCCGAGAAGUGAGGAUGCGCCUCGUGGGUCGCAGCGGGGGAGGAAAGGGGAGAAGAGGGGAAAGUUUGCAAGUUCCCUGAAGGACAGAUACGGAAGAUUAUAAAACCAGCUUCUAGUUUGUCUCCAUGUGGAAGUUCAGCCUUCUGGCCUCUCCCGCACCUCUUCAGUAUCUAUCCUCCUACCGAGCACCCAUCUGAUGGAUCUCUCCCCACUGCAACCCACCCUCCUCUCCAGGACCACUUUUUCUUGCCUGUAAUUCUGGCCUUAGGAAUGCCCAGAGGAGAUCUGUACCCAAAAAGUAUGUUUGAGCAAAGCUAAGUCUCCAGAAUAAAG